UUACGGACCACCGACACAAAAGUACAAACAAAUCACAGAGCAACAAACAGGUUAAAGAAAUAAACAUGUCGCAUUUACUGUUUGUGGUAAUAGUGAUUUAAUAACAGUUCGUGAAUUCUCGUACACCUUUAAAUAUUUACUAAAUAUGGCAACGUUGUACUGAUUUACUAACCGCCCAAUUCUCUUCGAGUGUCAUGGUGCAAAAACUUUUUGCCAAAAAUUUUUCGCUGAACAUGAGGGGAAUAUAUUUGAAGAAAUCCGACUGGUGUGGUCAAUGUAAUAUGAUCUACUCAGACAAUAAAGACCAGGAGAAUUCACUUAACGAUAAAAAGUGUAGUAUACAUUCAAACAAAUCUAUUGAUAAGUGGUAAACUACCAAAGUUUCAAUUAAAAUUUUAAUUGAUGAAAAUUUCCUGUAUUAUUCAGAUGGUGACAACUGAAAUACUAAACUGAUGGUUUACAUUUGGUUGUCUGUAAACCAAGCCGUUUAAUCAUGUUUACCAAUCAUCAAAUAAAUGUGAGAGAAAUGACCAGUAAAUGGAGUGAAGAUUACAUUGAGUACUGUUUGAAACAACAUCUACAUUUCUAUUCAAACCAAGUUACAGAUUCUACUACCAUGUUUGAAGUCUAAAAUAUUGAAAUUAUAGUCAGUCUCCGUAUAGUGAACUAAUUGAGCAACGAUUUUGUCACCCCACCGAGGUCGUUCACUAUUUAGAAACCAGGAAAAAAUACACAACACUGGUAUUUAAAGUGUGCUUAAUACAUUAAUAACUAAUAAUAAAAUAAAUAUAAUACAAUUAGUUACUAGAAUUAAAAAAAAAUUGUUAAUUUAGUUUGCUUUCUUUGUUUAUUGUACAUUUUUUUAACCAACUUAGUCCUCAAGUUAUGAAGAAGUAUCCCAGAAUAUUUUACUUUAUUCGAGUUUUCUUUGACCCAUUGAAUAACAUUGUUUAAAGAUUUGAAUGCUUCAUCAGUGAAUAUUAAGUUGCCUGUCAUAAUUGAAUCUUCAACAUCAUACUAUUAUAGAAUGAUACAUUUGCCAUUUUCUUUGCUAUAUUUGUUUUAAUUUUAUUAUUUAUGUUUAAAAUGUUAAUAUUUAAAUUUGCUAUUUAUAAAAA